rnacentral:rRNA from 1 species
AUGUACUAUUUCUACCAUUGCAAAAUCUGUACCUUUUUUAUCUGCGUCUUUGCUAAAUUGACGUAUUAUAGCAUGCUAUUCCGCAACAAUACAUCUUCCAUGCAUUUUGAUUUACACAAGUGCAUAUCAACUGCUAUUGUUGACUCGUAUCACUCGGGAAAGAUAAACUUAUCUAUUCACUGUUCAGUUUACAAAAAUGUUACUCCCUCUGUCUCACUCGGGAAAGAUAAAAGUUUUUUGACACUGUCACACUUACGUUUUUUAGACAGAGGUAGUACUAUGCUUCUACUGGCUCCCCCUCCCUUCACACCAAUGAGGAAGACAUUUUAUUUUACAAUUCUAAUGUUUUAA